GAAUGAAUGAACUUCUCGAUCUCGACAUGUAGAAGAAGAAAAUGGUAAAUGGUGGUAGAGUUAGGAGCUGGAUGUGUGUGAAUUUCUCUCGAAACGUGCAAGACAGUGUUGCUACCAAAUUCUGUCGCGAACUCGUUUUUAUGUGCCAAUCCUCAGGAUCCCUGACAUGCUUCUGAAGCCUGUUCUUCCAGCUAUAUACGUGCAUCCGGAUCAUGUGCAACGCAAGGAUCAGUUGACUAGGGCACUACCUGAGCGGCACCACCAAGAUGUCGGCGAGCACACGCCAUGACACCCUUUACGCCAAGAUGUCAUCGUUGUCAACACAUUUUAUUACUGCCAGAAGACGACGGACGUAGGAUGAAUAUCGACCACGUUGAGGUGCUCACAACCGUUUGGGCUUCUUACUACACAAUCCACAAGAUUAUGCAAGGGCUUCUUGAUCGGUAUACUGUGGCUGGAUACUCAAGGCCCUCAUGAUGUUUGUUGGGAUGGCUUAUUACUUCAGUGGUUGUGUGAAGAAUGUCAUACAGACAUACAACAUUGAGAGGCA